rnacentral:rRNA from 1 species
UACAGAGGUCUCAAGCGUUGUUCGGAUUCAUUGGGCGUAAAGGGUGCGUAGGCGGCGCGGUAAGUCGGGUGUGAAAUCUCCGGGCUUAACUCGGAAAGGUCAACUGAUACUGUACGACUAGAGUGCAGAAGGGGCAACUGGAAUUCUCGGUGUAGCGGUGAAAUGCGUAGAUAUCGAGAGGAACACCUGCGGCGAAGGCGGGUUGCUGGGCUGACACUGACGCUGAUGCGCGAAAGCCAGGGGAGCGAACGGG